GUCCACGCCGUAAACGAUGGAUACUAGCUGUUGGGGCGAACUUCAGUGGCUAAGCGAAAGUGAUAAGUAUCCCACCUGGGGAGUACGUUCGCAAGAAUGAAACUCAAAGGAAAUUGACGGGGGCCCGGCACAAGCGGUGGAGCAUGUGGUUUAAUUCGAUGAUACGCGAGGAACCUUACCAAGGCUUAAAUGUAGAUUGACCGGUUUGGAAACAGACUUUUCGCAAGACAAUUUACAAGGUGCUGCAUGGUUGUCGU
rnacentral:rRNA from 1 species